rfam:Ipomoea nil DNA, scaffold: scaffold3056, cultivar: Tokyo-kokei standard.
GCCCGUCUAGCUCAGUCGGUAGAUCGCAAGGCUCUUAACCUUGUGGUCCUGGGUUCAAGUCCCAGGGUGGGCG